GCAGGAGGUAGCUCAAUGGUAGAGUACUCGUCCGACACACGCAAAGCCCUAGGUUCAAUUCCCAGCACUGCA
rnacentral:tRNA from 1 species